GAUGAACGCUGGCGGCGUGCCUAAUACAUGCAAGUCGAGCGAACAGACGAGGAGCUUGCUCCUCUGACGUUAGCGGCGGACGGGUGAGUAACACGUGGAUAACCUACCUAUAAGACUGGGAUAACUUCGGGAAAACGGAGCUAAUACCGGAUAAUAUAUUGAACCGCAUGGUUCAAUAGUGCAAGGCGGUUUUGCUGUCACUUAUAGAUGGAUCCGCGCCGCAUUAGCUAGUUGGUAAGGUAACGGCUUACCAAGGCAACGAUGCGUAGCCGACCUGAGAGGGUGAUCGGCCACACUGGAACUGAGACACGGUCCAGACUCCUACGGGAGGCAGCAGUAGGGAAUCUUCCGCAAUGGGCGAAAGCCUGACGGAGCAACGCCGCGUGAGUGAUGAAGGUCUUCGGAUCGUAAAACUCUGUUAUUAGGGAAGAACAAAUGUGUAAGUAACUGUGCACGUCUUGACGGUACCUAAUCAGAAAGCCACGGCUAACUACGUG
rnacentral:rRNA from 1 species